rnacentral:rRNA from 1 species
GACGAACGCUGGCGGCGUGCUUAACACAUGCAAGUCGAACGGAAAGGCCCUGCUUUUGUGCGGUGCUCGUGUGGCGAACGGGUGAGUAACACGUGAGUAACCUGCCCUUUACUUUGGGAUAACUUCAUGAAACUGGGGCUCUUACCGCAUAGGAGCUCCUGCUGCAUGGUGGUGGUUGGUAAGUUUCGGCGGUUGGGGAUGGACUCGCGGCUUAUGAGCUUGUUGGUGGGGUAGUGGCUGACCAAGGCUUUGACGGGUAGCCGGCAUGGGAGGGUGACCAGAGACAAGGGGACUGAGGGAGGGAGCAGAGGGGAACGGGAGGAAGGAGGGGGGAAGAUGGCACAAGGGGGGGAAGCGUGAGAAAGAAACGCAGGGGGCGGAAAGACGGCCUAGGGGGAGGAAAGGGCUGUAGACUGAGAAGAAGAGGGAGUGACGGUAAUGGGAAAAGAAGCACCGGCUAACUACGUG